CACUCCUGCGGGAGGCAGCAGUGGGGAAUAUUGGACAAUGGGCGCAAGCCUGAUCCAGCCAUGCCGCGUGAGUGAUGAAGGCCCUAGGGUUGUAAAGCUCUUUCACCGGUGAAGAUAAUGACGGUAACCGGAGAAGAAGCCCCGGCUAACUUCGUGCCAGCAGCCGCGGUAAUACGAAGGGGGCUAGCGUUGUUCGGAUUUACUGGGCGUAAAGCGCACGUAGGCGGACUAUUAAGUCAGGGGUGAAAUCCCGGGGCUCAACCCCGGAACUGCCUUUGAUACUGGUAGUCUUGAGUUCGAGAGAGGUGAGUGGAAUUCCGAGUGUAGAGGUGAAAUUCGUAGAUAUUCGGAGGAACACCAGUGGCGAAGGCGGCUCACUGGCUCGAUACUGACGCUGAGGUGCGAAAGCGUGGGGAGCAAACAGGAUUAGAAACCCUGGUAGUCCCAUGA
rnacentral:rRNA from 1 species